rnacentral:rRNA from 1 species
AGAACGAACGCUGGCGGCAGGCCUCAAACAUGCAAGUCUAGGGGGUGUAGCAAUACAUCACCGGCGGACGGGUGCGUAACGCGUGGGAAUGUACCUAUUGGUUCGGAACAACUGAGGGAAACUUCAGCUAAUACCGGAUGAGCCCGAAAGGGGAAAGAUUUCUCGCCAAUAGAUCAGCCCGCGUCCGAUUAGCUAGUUGGUGGGGUUAAAGCCUACCAAGGCGACGAUCGGUAGCUGUUCUGAGAGGAAGAUCAGCCACACUGGGACUGAGACACGGCCCAGACUCCUACGGGAGGCAGCAGUUGGGAAUCUUGGACAAUGGGGGAAACCCUGAUCCAGCCAUGCCGCGUGAGUGAUGAAGGCCUUCGGGUUGUAAAGCUCUUUCGCUAGGGACGAUAAUGACGGUACCUAGACAAGAAGCCCCGGCUAACUUCGUGCCAGCAGCCGC